GAAAAUAAAACCCGGAAGUUGUAACAAUGUUUUAUGAAACAACCUGACAUUGAAUAUUCUGUUGGAAGUUUUAUCGACAAAUAUCAGAAUGAUAUGCCACAGUUGGUCAUGGUUAAACAUGGUUACCAAGGAGAAACUUGAAAUGAUACCUUAGAUACAGGACAGGUACUUAGAAUUCAUGGUGUAUACAAACAAACCAGAAUAUUAGCAAUAGUUAAAAAAGAUCCCAACAGAUGUUUUGGAUAUGGAGAUAUUUCAGUCAGUAUCCCUCAAGAUUGUAACAUACCAGUGUAUCGUAUCAAAAGAAAUAAUCCAGUGAAAUGUUCAGCAUUGUUUCAUGAAGUUAUUGCUAAACAUAAACUACCAGUUGAGGUCAAGUGUGACACCGCAGAGGAACCGGAAAUAACAUUAAAAGGUCGUAACGCACGUUUAACCGGAGACAUAAGACUUAAGUUGAUACAAGAAAGCGAUUUGAAAUACAUGUAUGGAAACCCAGUAAAUAAAGGACAGUUAUAUCGAAACGUUGUUUCCAUACCCUAUCACAUGACCGGCUUGGCGUUGUCUGUCAUAAGAGGGUUAGAAAAUGGUAACCAAGACUACUGGGCGUCUAUUCUACAUUCCAUGACGUAUACAGCAGACAACCAUACAAAGCCAAAUGGGCGGAAAUGAUUUUCUGACGUUCUCUACAUCAUCCUACAGCUCCAAUGGAAUAUGAUUUUAUUGAGACCAAUACAUCUGAUUUGACAACUAAUAGGAAGAAAGACCCAACUUAUGUAUCAACUAAGUCUUCCAUCCAAGAUGAACAUUUCUAUGAGGAAAUCCCAGCUGAUAGUGUGAAGUCCGAACAGCUUAAUAUAUCUAACAGAACAAAAGUGUCAACAGAGGACAGUGACAUUACUGAAACUACAAAUCUUCCAUAUGAAAAUUUAGAUAAAAUAAGUAUUUCAAACCGAACAAUAGUGUCUUCAGAGGACUGUGACAAAACUGAAAUCUCAAGUUUUCCAUAUGAAAAUUUAAAUAAGCAUAGUACCGUUAUUGUUAAAUCAGACUCUGUUGACUUACAAACUCUGGCAACAAACAUUACGAAUGAUUUUGCAUUUGAAAACAGGGAGUAUCAAAAUACACCAACGUCAGAAAGCACAAAUUGUGACUACGAAAUAAAGAAGAAACUGGAUAAGACUUCGCGGAAGAUAAAUAUCGUAAAUACAAUAUCUUGCCCACCUGACGUGGAGAGUUUGUCAGUUCAAGAAUUAGGACAGUAUUUACAUGUUUUGAACCUAGGAAAACACGAAGAAAGUCUUUCCGAUGCUCUCAUUGAUGGAUCUCUUAUCAAAGAACUGGAUGAAAACAUUCUUCGAGAGGAGUUUGGUUUCUUACGAUUUGAGGCAAUCAAACUGAUGAAAUUUGCGCGAGAUGGAUAUUUGCCAAAAACUUCACAAGAAACCUUUUUAUAGCGAUUGUUUGCUGAAUGUAUCGACAGCCGAACGAAAACGAUCCUUAUUUUUUAUGUUAAAAUACCCUAUCCUUUGCUUAGAUUGUGCUUUGCUUGAUCGCUUUAAACCAGGAGAGACAGCAACUAACAAGUAUUUAGUCCGUAAAGUGUUUUGUCUAACAGUAUCUUCUUUAAACACGAUAGGCAUGACAAGCAUAAUUAUCAAAUCAAAACGUCAACAGAAAUCACUUAAUUACAUGUACAUGUUCAAAUUGUCGUAACUACAAUGCCGUCCUUUUUUCCUCGAUUUUGACUUCAGCGAAUGAGACUUAUCACAGUCCUAAUUUGUACUGACUAUGAACAACACGAAUGUUGCCACAUGUGGAGUAGGAUAAUCAUGCUUACCCUUCCGAAGCACCCGAGUGUUUUGACUGCCGGUUUCUCUUUGACCUUUUGAAAAUUUUGAAUGUCUCUUUGAUAUCUUCCGCCUAUUUAAAUUUGAUUUUUUUAAUGAUACAGUUGUUUGAAUCAAGGCAGUUAUUUUUGUGUAAAAAGUUAUUGACCAAGCAAGACGAUAUAUGUCAUUUCAUCUGCACGGCUCGGGUGACCCUACUUGACCCGAACAUCGUAGGAGUUCGGGUUAAAAGGUCAUCUUGACCGUGCAGAUAAAAUGAUAUAAUACCGAUUUAAUUGGUCAAUAACUGUUUUAAUACAUGAAGCCAUCAAUUAACAUGACCGUUUUGGAAAUAUUCGGGCGAUAUUCAAUCCACGGCUCCUGUUAAAGUUUUCUUGUAGGGUAAAGAACACUAUAUGUUUCCCUCUAGAUGUGCUUAGUUGGUAUUUAAUUUGUCGUUUGUUUGCUGUCUUAUUGGCGUACAACAAUCAUCUCCUACAGUUUAAGUACGUUUGGUCAGUGUAUGACAAAUCAUAAAUGCAAGGGUUAUUGAGUAUAAGAUUAAUUGCUUCUCUUUCCCUCAAGAAUAUGAUCAGAGGAAGAUUAAUCGAAGAGAGAUGUACUUAAAUUUAUAGUGCAAAAUAAACAAAACAAAACACGUUUCACUUUUCAAUCUUUAACUCCCCCCCCCCAUAAUUUUUCAUCUUCAUUCAUUCUGAGGACAUGUUCCAUUUAAAAGAAGUAUGAUUGAUCUCUAAGUUACUAGUAUUUGUUUAUUUGAUGUGUUGGCAUAUACUUGAAUAUGAACCUCAUUAAAUUCGAUCCCAAACUAGUCACUUAAAAGAAAUUAAUAUUCAAAAAGUCUCAAUAAAUUCCGCUGAAAACAAAAAUUAUCCAAAUCAAGUUUUAGCUAUUUGGAUAUUUUAAGAAAUUACAAAAACAAAUCUUGUUUGACUUUGAACCACUAAUUUAAGAUUUAAAUUGUACACAUACUAUCAUAAAGAGUUCUAAGGAAUGAAAUGCACUUUCUAUUUCAUAAUUAAAAACGACAAAAAAUAUUCAGAGUUGUUAAUUGAUCAACUUUGCCGUAAUUGCAAGGUCAUAGGCGGAUUCAAAGGGGUCGAAGAGGGCGUGCGCCCCCUUUGAUUGGGAAAUAUUUAGUGUUUAAUCCUAAAAUCGCCAAAACUUUUAUAUGGAAUUACUCCCCCUAUGCCUUUGAAAAAUCCUGGAUCCUCCCUUAACGUUAAGAGUACAUUUGAACUUCGCAGUAUAUCUGAGGUAGUAAAAUCACACCUUAGCCGUGCAUUAUCCAGAUUAUAGCAAAAGUAAGAACAAAGAGAUUUUGCCUAUGUCAUGUGUUAACUACUUAAAUGCAACAUUUUCAUAUAUAAGGUUGAAUGAAUUAAAAUUUAUCAUAUUUUGUAAAUAGAAUUUGCCUAAAGAAUAAACAAAUAUAAGUGGAAUAACGGUACUCAAUGAUAAAAUAAAAUAACAACAACAUAAUGGUUAACAGAUUGACCCCGGGGACAUAAUUGCAACCCAUAUUAUUUGGGAAACACCACUUACGAGAAUGAACAUUUCAGAUUAUUCCCCCGAAUAUGGCCCUGUGCAUGAAGUACAAACUAUAUGAUUUUUGGUGUCUAUCUAAUAGCAUUUUUAAAAACAAUUUUAAAAAGGGUUAUACCGCACCUUUGACUAAUAUACUUUAGUUUGUCAGCUUGACCAAAUAUCAACGCUCAGUAGUAAACACCGAAGGUAAAUAAAUACAUGUAUAAACUUGAAUCUUUUGGCAUGAGUCACAGUUAAAAGUGGACAGAAGAUAGCAACGGAACAAUAUAAAUCAUAAUUCCAAGAAAAAAAGACAAUACCAUGACCAAAAUCAAAAACAGCAAAAAGACAAACAACAGUUUAGCAACUCGAAGUUGAUCUCAAGUGCCCAUGUAGGAUAAUAACAUCCUUCGUGUUUCUAAUGGAAAAUGCAAGUACACAUUCGAUGACAUGUUGCAUUCGGUAACGUUUAAUAAAGUCAAGUUGAACUUUAAUACACAAGAGCAGGUUAUUUCUAAAAAUGAAAAUAGCAAAUGAAUGUUUUUUUGAAAAUAGUACUACACAGUAGCUAGUAUUUUACAAACAUAAUACAGAAUGUACUGUGGGUUGAUUAUAAAUCAUUGGAUACAUGUACUAUUUGUUGUGCUUUUUGAAAAAAAAAAUAUUUCCAUUUCCCAUUGUUUCUGUUUACAGCUACCACGUUGCACGGAAGUACAACGGAGACAGUUAGAAGAAAGAUUAAAUGUACGGAAAUUGUAAAAAUUUUCAAUUUUUAUCAUUGAAUUAAAAUGCAUCAUUUUAAUUUUUUUUAAGUAAAUAUCAAGUACAUGUACUAUGCUUUGCUUCAAAAGUGUCAUUCUAAAGAAUGGAAACCUUAUUUAUAGUACAAUUUGAAAAAAAUAAAAACACGCAAAGAUGUCUUAAUGUUUUAGACCUUUGAAUCAACUUAUCAUGAAAAAUAAAAACAAAAUCUCUGAACAUUGUACAGUAUAUAACGAUAGAAACAUUAGAUUUUAAAUAAAGUUAAAGGACAAU